rnacentral:sRNA from 1 species
GCUGGGCGUGGUGGCGCGGACCUAUAAUCCCAGGACUGGGGAGGCUGAGGCAGGAGGAUUGCAAGUUUGAGGCCAGCCUCAGCAGCUUCGUGAGAUCUUGUCUCAA